UAAUAAUAGUAAUAAUAAUAGUAAUAAUACCAUUAAUAUUAAUGGAAAAUUUCACUAAUAAAUAUAUGUGAAUAACUAAAGAUAUGCAUCAAAAUAUUGCGAUUAGAUAAAAAAAUAUUUUUGUUUGCUACAUCUCUUGGUUUAUAAAAAACUUUCUUCAUUGUGAGAGGAAGAGAAAGAAAGACAGAGAGAGAGAAAAAGGAUGAAUCUACGUGACUUUUAUCGAGUAAAAAUGAAAAUGUAUUUAAAUAAAUUGUAUUUUUAUUUAUUAUACCUUUCUUCCUUCAUAAUAUAUAGAAAUAUUCUAUAUACCUAGAAACGAAUCACGAUUCUUUUGUUUUAUUAAUAACGAGUCUUUCUCCUAAUGCUUGUUGCAAAAGAAAAAAAAACACACAAAAAUGUGUCGAAUGAUAAAACAUAAAAAUUUAUUCACGAAUAAAAUGAACGACCCAAUUUAAUUCGCGCGUUAAAUCUUUAUUAUAAUAUAUUAUUAUCUUCAUAUCCUAAGAGAUAAUAAUAUUAUAAAUAUUAUAUUUUUAUAAGAGUAUACUGGUCAAAGAAUAGUUCGAAAUUAAUAAUCAUUCUUGUUAGUCUGGGUGUAGUGAAGCCUGGAUCUCAUGACCCGUAAAGUCGAGCCGUCAAUUGUUCGAUUAAAUAAUUCUAUUAUGGUAGAUAUGCAGAGAGAUUAUUCAAGCUAGUAACCACUUGCACAUGGAUAUGAAAUUAAAUUAUAACUACUGUAUAUUGCAUAUACAAGUAUGGUGUUAUGUAUAACGACGACGAUGAUGAUGAUGAUGUCGUAUGAAUUUCUCUCUUUACGUGAAAGAAUACGUGUGUUUACUUUCUUCAAAUUAUUAGUUGAACGUAAACUUGUUCACCCAAGUAAUGUUGUAAUAGCGUAUAUACGUUCGUGAAAGUAUUCGAGACGGUGGCCCGACAGUAAGAACAAGGUCAAUUACAUUAAGCCAUCAUAAUAACGUAAAUUGGGCGGCAACUCGUAAGAUUAAUUGGGAAAAGAUAAGAAAGUUCAUGAUGAGAUUAACUUUAACGCCAUUUUACUCAAAUCCAUAAUUGAUCCUAUUCCUAUGAGCUGCUAAACGAAUAUGUGAUAAUAAAUAAUUAAUAAGUAAAUAUAUUAAAAUACAUAUAUACAUAUACAAUGUCUAUAUUUAUCACAUAAAUAAGCCUAGAAAAAUUAGGCUUAUUAGUUUAAAAGAAAUAUUAAAUAUUAAAAUACAUGAUGAAAUAUACGUCUUACUAUUCUC
rnacentral:lncRNA from 1 species